UACAGAGGGUGCGAGCGUUAAUCGGAAUUACUGGGCGUAAAGCGUGCGUAGGCGGUCUUUUAAGUCCGUUGUGAAAGCCCUGGGCUCAACCUGGGAAUGGCAGUGGAUACUGGAAGGCUGGAGUACGGUAGAGGAGGGUGGAAUUCCCGGUGUAGCGGUGAAAUGCGUAGAGAUCGGGAGGAACAUCAGUGGCGAAGGCGGCCCUCUGGACCAGUACUGACGCUGAGGCACGAAAGCGUGGGGAGCAAACAGG
rnacentral:rRNA from 1 species